rnacentral:rRNA from 1 species
AUUGAACGCUGGCGGUAUGCUUAAGACAUGCAAGUCGAACGGUAACAGGCAGAGCUUGCUCUGUGCUGACGAGUGGCGGACGGGUGAGUAACACGUGGAAAUCUACCCAGUAGCGGGGGAUAAGUCAGAGAAAUUUGAUCUAAUACCGCAUACGUCCUACGGGAGAAAGGCUUCGGCCACUAUUGGAUGAGUCCGCGUUAGAUUAGCUUGAUGGUGAGGUAAAGGCUCACCAUGGCGACGAUCUAUAGCUGGUCUGAGAGGAUGAUCAGCCACAUUGGGACUGAGACACGGCCCAGACUCCUACGGGAGGCAGCAGUCGGGAAUAUUGGACAAUGGGCGAAAGCCUGAUCCAGCAAUACCGCGUGUGUGAAGAAGGCCUGCGGGUUGUAAAGCACUUUUCAGUAGGGAAGAUAAUGACGUUACUACAGAAGAAGCACCGGCUAACUCCGUGCCAGCCGCCGCGGUAA